GUUGUAAAUAUGUGUUUUGGUUACUUCCAAGUAAAAGAAUAUUGUUAUUUAUUGUAAUAAGAGAGUUUAUAUAAGUUUACAGAAGUUAUUUCUAGUGUUUAGUAUAACGAAUGAGUAAUUAACGUACGUUUUACUUUAUGUUAUUAGUUGUAUCGAUUACGUCGUAUAUGGCGCAACUUUGUCAUGUAUUGUUCAGAACGUUACCGUUGGGUCAAUAUUUUAAGCGUGAACCCAAAAGUGUACAUUUAUGAGUUCUUAACUGGAAGAAUUAAUAUGACUAGAUUUGUUUAUUCAUAAGAUUGUAUUAUUACAAGCAUUUUGAGUCGAGGACUCCUAUAUUUUAUGUAAGCGUUUAAGGCGAAGUGUACGUAAUUAAACUACACAAUGGAUUUUUUUUAAAUUUUACAUGUAGAUUCUGCUUGUAAAAAUAAAUCGGAAA
rnacentral:lncRNA from 1 species